UACGGAGGGUGCAAGCGUUAUCCGGAUACACUGGGUUUAAAGGGUGCGUAGGCGGGCUAAUAAGUCAGUGGUGAAAGCUCCCGGCCCAACCGGGAAAUUGCCAUUGAUACUGUUAGCCUUGAGUGCAGUUGAGGUGGGCGGAAUACAGCAUGUAGCGGUGAAAUGCUUAGAUAUGCUGUAGAACACCGAUUGCGAAGGCAGCUCACUAAACUGUAACUGACGCUGAGGCACGAAAGCGUGGGGAUCGAACAGG
rnacentral:rRNA from 1 species